GAUGAACGCUAGCGGCAGGCUUAAUACAUGCAAGUCGAGGGGCAGCAUGACUGUAGCAAUACAGUUGAUGGCGACCGGCAAACGGGUGCGGAACACGUACAGAACCUUCCUUCGAGCGGGGAAUAGCCCAGAGAAAUUUGGAUUAAUACCCCAUAGUAUAUUUGAAAGGCAUCUUUUAAAUAUUAAAGAUUUAUCACUUGAAGAUGGCUGUGCGGCUGAUUAGGUAGUUGGCGGGGUAACGGCCCACCAAGCCUGCGAUCAGUAACUGGUGUGAGAGCACGACCAGUCACACGGGCACUGAGACACGGGCCCGACUCCUACGGGAGGCAGCAGUAAGGAAUAUUGGUCAAUGGACGAAAGUCUGAACCAGCCAUGCCGCGUGGAGGAUGAAGGUCCUCUGGAUUGUAAACUUCUUUUAUAUGGGACGAAAAAAGGCUUUUCUAAGUCGUCUGACGGUACCAUAUGAAUAAGCACCGGCUAACUCCGUGCCAGCCGCCGCGGUAAAAC
rnacentral:rRNA from 1 species